CCUACGGGGUGCAGCAGUGAGGAAUAUUGGUCAAUGGACGAGAGUCUGAACCAGCCAAGUAGCGUGAAGGAUGACUGCCCUAUGGGUUGUAAACUUCUUUUAUAUGGGAAUAAAAUGAUCCACGUGUGGGAUUUUGUAUGUACCAUAUGAAUAAGGAUCGGCUAACUCCGUGCCAGCAGCCGCGGUAAUACGGAGGAUCCGAGCGUUAUCCGGAUUUAUUGGGUUUAAAGGGAGCGUAGGUGGAUUGUUAAGUCAGUUGUGAAAGUUUGCGGCUCAACCGUAAAAUUGCAGUUGAAACUGGCAGUCUUGAGUACAGUAGAGGUGGGCGGAAUUCGUGGUGUAGCGGUGAAAUGCUUAGAUAUCACGAAGAACUCCGAUUGCGAAGGCAGUUCACUGGACUGCAACUGACACUGAGGCUCGAAAGUGUGGGUAUCAAACAGGAUUAGAUACCCGAGUAGUC
rnacentral:rRNA from 1 species